rnacentral:ncRNA from 1 species
AAAUAUUUUAUUAUAGUAAUAAAAUUUAUUAUUUAAAUAUUUUAUAUGUAAAUUUUUGUGUGAAUAUAUAUUAUUUAAAAAAUAAACUUUAAUUAUUCGCAGUAAUUAGAAUUAUUUAUUUAAGAAAUUAUGAAUUAGUAAUUUAGUUUAAUAUAGAUUUAUUUUGUGCCAGCAAUCGCGGUUAUACAAAAUAUAUAAAUAAAUUAUAUUAGAAAAAGUUAAAUAAAAAUUUAAAUUAGUAUUAAAUGUUAGUGAAUAUUUUUAGGUAAAAUUUUAAUAUUUUAUAAAUUUAAUUUAAAAAUUAAUUGAGCUUAUAAAUUUUAUUAAAAACUAGGAUUAGAUACCCUAUUAUUAAAUUAUAAAUAAAAAUUCUUGAUUAGUAUUAGAUAUAUUUAUGAAAUUAAAAUGAUUUGGCGGUAUUUUAGUCUAUUCAGAGGAAUCUGUUCUGUAAUUGAUAUUCCACAUUGAAUCUUACUUAAUUUAUUUAAUUUGUAUAUCGUUGUCAUGAGAAUAUUUUAUAAGAAAUAAUAAUUUUCUAAAAUUGUUUUAAAAUUUUAUGUCAAAUCAAGGUGCAGUUUAUAUUUAAGUAGAGGUGGAUUACAAUAAUUUUAAAUUAAACGGAUUAAUAAUUGAAAUAUUAUUAUGAAGGUGGAUUUGAUAGUAAAUUUAAAUAGAUUAUUAAGUUGAUUAUAGCUCUAAAAUAUGCACAUAUCGCCCGUCGCUCUUGUUAUUAAAAUAAGAUAAGUCGUAACAAAGUAGAAUUACUGGAAAGUGAUUCUAGAUAGA